GAAUAUUGAUAUCAUUAUGGCAUUUGAUUUCAUGUUCGUAACCCUAGACGAGUAUCAUACCCUAUAUAAAUACGGGGCCAAACUCCCAUCACCUCACCACAGUCAACUUCUUAAAUCAUCAUUUAUCAAAACAUUCUCGAUGGAGUGAUAGAAACGAGAAGCGAACCAACUCACGGGAACAAUGGUUUCAUCGACCAUAAAUACGUUUCUUCGUAGUAAAGAUGGAGUAAGUAUUACACUUUUGAAAGAAAAAAAUUACUGAUUUAC
rnacentral:lncRNA from 1 species